UGUCUGCUUGCUGGUGCGAUGAGCCA
rnacentral:misc_RNA from 1 species